rnacentral:lncRNA from 1 species
GAGAUAGAAUAUAACGGGGCAGGAAGAAGCUGCUGAGGGCUCUCGAUUGCUUUUGCUGUCUUCUGCCCCGCCCCUUAACUGUUCCCCUCUGCGAUGCCACUUGCCCCGGACCCAGCCGACUGUGGACAGAAGCCUUGCAAACUGUGAGCUGAAUAAACCUUUCCCCCUUUAACUUUGGCUGUCGGGUAUUUGUCUCAGCAGCGAGAGAAAAAUACUUAAGAAACAGAGACAGAAACACAGAGAUGCACACACACACGCACGCACGCACGCACGCACGCACGCACGCACGCACACAGCAUUCCCAGAUGGUCCCGUUCAGCGGGAACGCCUGACUUCCUGUUUUCCCGGACUGCCUUACUUCCUCUUCUGUCUUCUGUCAGCAAUUCUACACCAUGGCUUCCUCCCCAUAAACUCAAUGCCUGCGGGUCACUGAACGCGAGGCGUCCGGAGCACUUCUGAGUUGGAUCAGAGUCCAGUCAGGGGCUGGGCCCAAGGUUUGGGCUCCAGUUUUGGGGACACCACUCAGGCACAGCACUGCUGGAGUGGGGAGUGAACGCUAAUGACAUCCCCAAGAUCAUCUCUAAACAUCCUCCUCUGGCUUCUGCGAAUUGUUCCAGCUUGAUUAUAACACCGUCUCAGAAGGAGAAAUGAAAGACAGUCUGCGUUUCUCAGGAAAACGAUCAAUGAAGGAAAACGAUCAAUGAAUCAAAUUUUGUGGUUUCAUUACUGGAAACCCCGUAGUAUAGAAAAUGUAAAAAAAAAAAAAAAAAAAAAAAAAAAAAUCCCGUCCUUGAUCAAGUUGACCGGCUAAUUAACAAGACUUCCAAAUACCAUGCGGGCGGCGACAGCAACCCAAACAUUCAACCGUCCUUGGUCCCGCUAGCGGGCGGGGGUUUUCUUCUCUUCCAGGCCCGGCCUAGAAACUCAUAUUUUAUUCAUGAAAAUCUAGGCCCUGGGAGGCCUCGGCAUAAACAGGAUGUCCCUUCGUUCCCAUCUCCCCAGAUUCAAACCUGGGACUGGUUUUCUGAGAGGCUGAGGCAGGAGGGUCUCGAGUUUGAAGCAAGCAUGGACAACUUGGUGAGACCCUGCCUUGAAAUAAAAUAUGAAAAGGGUUAGGGAUGGAGCUCAGUGCAAAAGCCCUGGGUUCAAUCCCCAGUAGCAGCGGG